rnacentral:rRNA from 1 species
CCUACGGGAGGCAGCAGUGGGGGAUAUUGCACAAUGGGGGGAACCCUGAUGCAGCGACGCCGCGUGGGUGAAGAAGCGCCUCGGCGCGUAAAGCCCUGUCAGCAGGGAAGAAAAUGCCGGUACCUGAAGAAGAAGCCCCGGCUAACUACGGGCCAGCGGCCGCGGUAAUACGUAGGGGGCAAGCGUUAUCCGGAUUUACUGGUUGUAAAGGGGGGGCAGACGGCGAUGCAAGCCAGGAGUGAAAGCCCGGGGCCAAACCCCGGGACUGCUCUUGGAACUGCGUGGCUGGGGUGCAGGAGGGGCAGGCGGAAGUCCGGUGGUAGCGGUGAAAUGCGUAGAUAUCAGGAGGAA